UAGUGAGUUUGAUCCUGGCUCAGAGCGAACGCUGGCGGCAGGCCUAACACAUGCAAGUCGAACGGCAGCGCGGGGCAACCUGGCGGCGAGUGGCGAACGGGUGAGUAAUAUAUCGGAACGUACCCGAGAGUGGGGGAUAACGUAGCGAAAGUUACGCUAAUACCGCAUACGAUCUAUGGAUGAAAGUGGGGGAUCGCAAGACCUCAUGCUCCUGGAGCGGCCGAUAUCUGAUUAGCUAGUUGGUGAGGUAAAGGCUCACCAAGGCCACGAUCAAUAGCUGGUCUGAGAGGACGACCAGCC
rnacentral:rRNA from 1 species